rnacentral:rRNA from 1 species
AGCAGUAAAUGUGGAGCCGUAGCGAAAGCGAGUCUGAAUAGGGCGUUUAGUAUUUGGUCGUAGACCCGAAACCAGGUGAUCUACCCUUGGUCAGGUUGAAGUUCAGGUAACACUGAAUGGAGGACCGAACCGACUUACGUUGAAAAGUGAGCGGAUGAACUGAGGGUAGCGGAGAAAUUCCAAUCGAACCUGGAGAUAGCUGGUUCUCUCCGAAAUAGCUUUAGGGCUAGCCUCAAGUGAUGAUUAUUGGAGGUAGAGCACUGUUUGGACGAGGGGCCCCUCUCGGGUUACCGAAUUCAGACAAACUCCGAAUGCCAAUUAAUUUAACUUGGGAGUCAGAACAUGGGUGAUAAGGUCCGUGUUCGAAAGGGAAACAGCCCAGACCACCAGCUAAGGUCCCAAAAUAUAUGUUAAGUGGAAAAGGAUGUGGCGUUGCCCAGACAACUAGGAUGUUGGCUUAGAAGCAGCCAUCAUUUAAAGAGUGCGUAAUAGCUCACUAGUCGAGUGACACUGCGCCGAAAAUGUACCGGGGCUAAACAUAUUACCGAAGCUGUGGAUUGUCCUUUGGACAAUGGUAGGAGAGCGUUCUAAGGGCGUUGAAGCAUGAUCGUAAGGACAUGUGGAGCGCUUAGAAGUGAGAAUGCCGGUGUGAGUAGCGAAAGACGGGUGAGAAUCCCGUCCACCGAUUGACUAAGGUUUCCAGAGGAAGGCUCGUCCGCUCUGGGUUAGUCGGGUCCUAAGCUGAGGCCGACAGGCGUAGGCGAUGGAUAACAGGUUGAUAUUCCUGUACCACCUAUAAUCGUUUUA